GGAUAUUAUUGUCUACAUACGUUUGCCAGAAUCAUGCAGCUUCUCUAUUCUGGCUUUCCUAGCAGGUGUCUCUUUAAGUACUUAUUCUAAAUGGAACACAACUGGGCGACAUCAGAAAGGGCACUGUUGACAACUGUCAUAGCAGGUUCCAGCUUGAAUGGUAACUGAGCAGAAGGUAUCUCUCCAGAGUACUUCAGAUCAUCCUAAAAGCAGCAUCAUUUCCACCAGGGACCCAGCUUCUACCAGAAAAGAGUGCUGGGAAAUGGUGCUUCUGGUUAUUUGAAAUUUCAGAUGGUAACAAGUUUGGAAUUGUCUUUUUCUUCAGCUAUGGACUGUAUCAAAGUUUAUGGGCUAUAAUUGUAUUUUGGUUUCUGCCAGGCAUCAGCAUAGCUCAUUUGCAUGACUGGUAUAAAAUUUACUUAUUCAGUGAAUCAUGCUCA